rnacentral:lncRNA from 1 species
UGUGUGAGUAGGGACACCAUUAAAUUACAGGUACAGUCCAUCCAGUUCUAUAUUUCAGAGCGUAGUGGUUAAGAGCGCGGGCUACUAACCCCAAGAUUCCGAGUUCGAUUCCAGGCAGUGACCUAAAUAAUAAUAAUAAUAAUGAUAAUAAUAAUAAUAAUAAUAAUAAUAAUAAUAAUAAUAAUGAUAAUAACAUCGAAAAAUACUUUAGGAAUGAGAACCCAGGUUCGAAAUUUCCCCAAGACGCCCGAAACGUUGUGUUAACAACAAACAAGAUGAGGACAAAUAUCUGUCAAGUAAUGUAAAUAAUUUAUGUCCAUCCAGGUACCCACGUGCCAAAGCCACGAACACACACGGACACGCGCGCGCAUACACAAACACACACACACACUCAAACACACAGACAUACACACACAUGCAGCCGCACAUUUUUUAUGCCAAAAAUAUAUACCCUUUUACUUGUUUCAGUCAUUUUGACUGCGGCCAUGCUGGAGCACCGCCUUUAGUCGAACAAAUCAACUCUACGAUUUACCCUUUGUAAGCCUAAUACUUUAUUCUAUAGGCCACUUUUGUCGAACCGUGAAGUUACGGGAACAUAAACACACCAAUAUCGGUUGUCAAGUGAUGGUGGGUGUCAAACACAGGCACACAAAUACAUGCAUACAUAUAAAUGUAUAUAUACGACGGUUUUCAUCUACCAAGACCACUCGCAAGGCUUUGGUCUGCUCGAGGCUAUAGUAGAAGGCACUUGCUCAAGGUGCCAUGCAGUAGGACUGAAAUCGGAACCAUAUGGUUGGGAAGCAAGCUUCUUACCACACAGCCAACAAAGUAAACCACUCCAACUCAUGUAUUGGGCCGUUAUGAAAUGCUUUAAUACACUAAAACUUUAUUUCCCGAGCAUACGCUGUUGAAAUCAGGAUGCGUAUAACGUGUCUUAUAUCAUUAAAUACGAUGCGUUAUGUGUGUGUGUGUGUGUGUGUGUGUGUGUGUGUGAGCUCGUGUGUGUACAUGUGUCUGUGCGCGUAUUACAAAAAAAGUUACUGUUUUAUGUAUACUUAUACGCUUAAGGUCUUUAUAGAUACAAGACGAUCUUCAUCCAGAAAAUUGUGAUUUUCUCAACCAUCUCAGAUAUUCUGACACCCCACACCUCUCUAACGUCCUUUAAUCUCUUAUACCAGCGAAAAAAACUAACCCCUAAGCAGCCCGAAACAUUUCGUACGUUUCUGUUGCAUUUUUGCUCAGUUUAACACAAAUUUAUUACAUAGGGAUCUUCCGCAGUACCUUCACAUCCCAAAUGACUUCUCCAAGUUACUCAGUUGUGACUAGCAGUCUUUAGUAAGGUGUGACCAAAGUGUUGUUACAGACGUCUCUUAAUCUGGAAUAACAAAAGUUGACAGAUCCGCUUAUUACAUGAAUAGUAAUGAUGUACUAAAAUUUAAAUAAUCUCAGACAGUGAUAACAGCCUCUCCUAAAAAAAAAAAAAACGUCUCAGAACUUCUGGAAUGUACCCCAUUUGUCUAUCUAUCUAUCUAUCUAUCUAUCUAUCUAUCUAUCUAUCUAUCUAUCUAUCUAUCUAUCUAUCUAUCUAUCUAUCUGUCUGUCUGUCUGUCUGUCUGUCUCUCUAUCUAUCUAUCCAUCCAUCUAUCCAUCCAUCCAUCUAGCCAUCCAUCCAUCAUCUAUCUAUCUAUCUAUCUAUCUAUCUAUCUAUCUAUAUAUCGAGCUAUCUCUCUCUCCUCUCCCCCUCUCUCUCUCUCUCUCUCUCUCUCUCUAUAUAUAUAUAUAUAUAUAUAUAUAUACAUACAUGCAUACAUACGCACAUGUAUAUAUACAAACACACGUACAUAGCUGUACAGGUACAUACAUAUAUAUAUAUGCACACACACACACACAUAUAUACAUACGUAUAUAUUAUAGACACACACAACAGAGUUACGCUGAGACAUACACACGCAUGCACGCCUACUGACAUGUGAGUCCAUUUUGUCACCCUCCAGCUCGUCCUCUCGGUGUAGCUGCUUCAUCCAACAUCACUAACACUCCCCCUCCCCUAUAUGUCUUGUAGUCACAUCUUCAGCCACCACCCAACCCCCACUCACCAUCCACAUACUGUCCACCUCCAUCCACCACCCACCCGUCAUUACCACCACAAUAACACCACCACCCACACCCCGCCGUCCCAAAGCAAAACAACAAAAACAACAACAAUGCUGUUAUAUGUUUUUCUACGACUUCUUAUUAGGCCGUUCACCUUUCACAACCAGCUGUACACACACGCACACACGUGCACGCACACACAUACACAUACACGUAUGCACGCACUCACACACAUACAUACAUGUACUUCCACCGUACAUACAUAUAUCUCUAUGUAUGUAUCUGUGUAGGCGUGUGUGUGUAUAUAUAUAUAUAUGCAACUAUUUUGUUCAUGUAUAUACAUAUAUACAUGCAUAAAUAUAUACAUGUGUGUGUAUGUGUCCAUGUGUGUGUCAUAUUUAUACAAUUAAUUAGGCUGUGUAUGUUAUCUUAAUAUUUCAUUCUAAGUAAAUAUUCUUUUUAAAAUAUGGAUAUGUAUGUGGAGGCGCAUGGCUUAGUGGUUAGGGUGUUGGACUCAUGAUUGUGAGAUUGUAGUUUCGAUUCCUGGACUGGGCAAUGCAUUGAGUUCUUGAACGAAGCAUAUCAUUCCACUUUGCUCCAGUUCAUCCAGCUGACAAAAAUCGGUAAUCCUGCGGCGCUCCGGCGUCCCGACGAAGGUCAGGUGGAAUAUAGACUACACUGAAUUCAGGAGACCGGCCUUAUGAGCCUACAGCUCUUGAAGAAUUUUUGAUCCUUUAAUAUGUAUGUGUGUCGUUGCUAUUAUGUUAAACUGUUGUAUGUCCAAAUUUUGAUCAAAUGCAUUUUUUUUUUUCAAUAUUUAAUUUUGCUUUCAAUAGCCGGUUCUUUUGGUCAAACUAUCGUAUCUCCAGCUGCUUCAGAUGAAAAUAGUCUAAAUGUAGUACAAUGGUAUAGAAUUUCUCAAAAGUGCAGUAAACCCCACAUACGAUAGUUUUGCAAAAAUGUUUCUGACUGAAAAUAUCAUACAUGCAUGGAGUUACGAUUUUAUGCACCCAAAAAAGGAUUAUUGUUAAGCUGAAACUGUUGCUAAUCUAAAAAGAAAUGGAAUGGUGAAACAAUUUUUUCGUUUUCUGGAAAAGCAGCGUUUUGAAUCUACGACACUUUUGCAUAGCAGCAACGGUAUAUAUAUAUAUAUAUAUAUAUAUAUAUAUAUAUAUAUAUAUAUAUAUAUAUAUAUAUAUAUAUAUAUAUAUAUAUAUAUAUAAGGAGAAUUCACAUAAAAAAAAACAGAAGACGAAGACAGGUGGUGUAGACAACAAACAGAUGUAUUAGUAUAACGCUCGGGAAAUGAAAAAGUCUUUAACGUUUCGAGCCUACGCUCUUCCACAGAAAGGAACACAGAAAGAAACAAGGGGAGAAAAUAAAGAAUGUAUAGUGGCUAGCGAUCUAUAUAUAUAUCAGUGGCGACUCCGGCACUCGAGCUGUUCGCGCAUACCCCGAGUAUAAAUUUAGCAAAGUGAACGUGUAUUUGCAAGCUGAUUUAAUUUCUGCCCAACACUGACUUCAAGUAUGUAAUUCCAGCCAAUAACUCGGGCUCCUUCUAUUGAGCCUGGUCGCAGUUUAUUUAUUUCCAUUCAGCGGCUAGCAGUUGUCUUAGAGGUGCCCUGUGUCAAAAGAUAUCAUUUGUAACAGACGUGCUCUUGACAUCUUUCACACGCUCCUGACUCUGGCUCAGAAGUUACAGCCCAAGUUGUUAUCUAUAAUCGUAAAAAUUAAAAGUAAUUCAAAUUCAAUGUUUUCUUGAAACAAUAAAUUUCUAUAGAGAUUAGGAUUUAAAUUGAAAUCUAUGAAAAGUUAUACUAAUACAUCUACAAUAUUCUUAAAGGAAGGAAAAAUCCAGCAACUCGGGCUAAUACGAACGAGCUUGGUUAGACUAACUGGCAUCUUUUGUCUAGAGUACAGGCGACAGUCAGAUCGCCAAUGUUAGUUACGCACUCCGCUGUCGUUAUUUGAUUGUUGUUAUUAUGUUCGCUUGUGUGGAAAGAUCAACUGUGUUUUGCAGGGCUGCUUUAUUUUUACCCUCAACUUAGAAAUGGAUAAAGACAUAGUGUUAGAUAUAAAAAAAUAAACCAUUUAGGGAUAGAAAUAUUACGGAAAAACGUAUAUAUAUAUAUAUAUAUAUAUAUAUAUAUAUGUACACAAAUGUAUGUAUGUAUGUAUGUAUGUAUGUAUGUAUGUAUGUAUGUAUGUAUGUAUGUAUGUAUGUAACUAAACAGAGCUAAAAGUGAGGGAUUAUCAAUUUUGGCAACAUACUCCAUUAGCGCUCUAUUGGCACACCAGACAAAUAAUAUUGCUUAGAUUAGUGAAGAACUCUAAGUAGUCUUAUGGCAGGGUCCGAGGUUACAGUUCAUCAUCAUUCUAUCUUGUAGAUCCGCGGUGGGGGGCUCCAGUCAGACUGGUUUUUACACCGAGUAAACCUAUCAAUAACGUAUGACUAUAAUGACUACUGGAAACAGCUGUCAGCCGAAUUUACUUUAAUAAAGGAACAAUAUGUAAUGAACAUCAUUUAUACAAUGAAGUGUAGGCGGCUGACCGGAUGGAUUCUUAGAACCUUUAGAACAAGAGACCAGGAAACCAUGAUGGUCCUCUGAUUAUUGCUCUCAGCUAUGGUCACCAUCCAGUGUCAAGUUAAUCACAGAACUUGAGGCGAUCCAACAAAGCUACACGAAGAAGAUAGCCUCUGUGUAGCACAUAAGCUAUUGGGAAAGACUCAAGAGAUUGAGACUCUAUUCCUUAGAGCGUAGGCGAGAAAGAUAUGCCAUAAUAUACAUCUGGAAGAUCCUUGAAGGACUUGUCCCAAACUUUGGCAUCGAGAGUUACACAAAUGCCAGAACUGGGCGCACUGCAUAGUCCCAAGGACUCCAAAUUUGCCAUCAAGAUGUAGGACAAGAUACUGUGAUAGCCUGGGCUUCCGAGGCCCACAGCUCUUCAAUAUCCUCCCGAAGAACCUAAGAGACCUGCAUGGGGUGGAUGCAGAUGUCUUUAAAAUGAAACUGGAUCUCUUCUUGUCAGGUGUCCCAGAUGAACCAACUUCACGGCAGGAGGUGCAGAUGAGGGCAGCUGCAUCGAACUCUCUCAUGCAUCAGAUGGCAUUUGCAAAAAAGCAUUCGUGAAGUAAAAUCAUGUAGCAACACUAAAUGGCGGUGCCCCAGCAGGGCCACAGCUUGUGAGCUGAAACUAAAUAAAAUAAAAUAAAGUAAAAUAAAAUAAAAUACCUUGUCUUAUAUAUAUAUAUUUUUUUUCUCUUUCUCUUUUACUUGUUUCAGUCAUUUGACUGCGGCCAUGCUUGAGCACCGCCUUUAGUUGAGCAAAUCGACCCCAGGACUUAUUCUCUGUAAGCCCAGUACUUAUUCUAUCGGUCUCUUUUGCCGAACCGCUAAAUGACGGGGACGUAAACACACCAGCAUCGGUUGUCAAGCAGACACACAACACACACAUAUAUAUAUAUAUAUAUAUAUAUAUAUAUAUAUAUAUAUAUAUAUAUAUAUAUAUAUAUAUAUACAGGCUUCUUUCAGUUUCCGUCUACCAAAUCCACUCACAAGGCUUUGGUCGGCCCGAGGCUAUAGUAGAAGACACUUGCCCAAGAUGCCACGCAGUGGGACUGAACCCGGAACCAUGUGGUUGGUAAGCAAGCUACUUACAACACAGUCACUCCUGCGCCUAUAUAUAUAUGCGUGUAUGUAUUUAUAUAUAUAUAUAUAUAUAUAUAUAUAUAUAUAUAUAUAUAUAUAUAUAUACAAUAUGUUACAUUACUCGGUAGUCAAGAUAAAACUCUGAGUUUCAGAUGCCGAAGUGGAAAUCCACAACACCAUCUCUUCGGUUAUCUGGCUAUUUGAAAACGUUAUGAAAAAAUACCGUUAAAAAUGAAGGGAAAUUACUCUGUUAUAACUCUGCUUUGCCUGCGUACUUAUACAUCGCUCGCAUUUUUCGUCAUAAAAAUUAUAUAAAAAUACAUAAAAAUAUAUAAAAAUAUAUAAAAAUAUAUAAAAUCUUCUUGGGACAUAACACAGAAAGCAUGUUCUAUCUGUUUUCUUUAGGGACCAAAAACGUAACAGAAAUUUAGUCACAUGUGGGCAUGAUCCGAAAAGCUCUGUCCUUGUAUUUAGACAUGUGGUAGGGUCUAAGCUGCUUUUCCAGAUAAGCCAUCUCUCCAUGUCGCAUAAACCGCACCUUCCGCUGCCGUUAGUAUAGGGCUUACAUCUGGCCAAAAUCUUCCAUUGUAUGUUAUAAUCGACACCUUUAUCUCUUAAAGACCAAAUAUGAUUGGAUAAUUGUGUCGCUUUUCUUUUGUUCCAGUGCCUAAAGCUCAAAGUGUGGUUAUUGAACCUGGCCUUGAAAUUACCCUCUGUCAGGCCCACGUAUUUCUUCGUCGAAACGGUGUCUUUAGUGGUUAUAGAGUUUACGGUAGCUUCAUAUAUGAUGGUCUUGGACAUGCAAGCUCCAUUUAGCGGGCACAAUUCUUUAUUCCUGCAUGAACAGCUGUUUUCUUCUUGUGUUUUUUGUAUGUUAUGAUUGAUUAUGUUUUUAAAAUUGGUAGUUGAACUAAAACUAAUUUUUAAAUUGUGUCUAUUGAAGAGUUUCCUAUAAGCAUGGUUAACUGGAAAAUGUCUAUCUAUCAGUGCUAGGAAAUAUUUACCUAUAUUGAAGGCCACCUCGGGUGAGUAAGGGGGCGUAAACCAGAUGACCUUCCUAUUUCUAUUAUUCCUUUUCCUUAUUGUUGGGCUGGUGAUAGGUGUAUAUUUUAUUUUUUCGCUAAAACCACUAUCUUUUAAAGCUUUAUUAUAAACUGGGGCAACGCUAUUGAAGAUGUCCUCAUUAGAUGAGAGGCUAGAAAUCCUCUUACUAAUAUUUUUAACUAAAUUUUUGAAUACUAUAGGGGGAUGGCAUGAACCUACAUUAAUAUAACUUAGUCUAUCAUUGGGCUUCCUAUAAGGCUUAUAAAUAUUAUUAUUAAGAUCUAAGGAAACGUCUAAGAAAUUGACAACCGUCAGGUUAGUGUCUAUAGUUAUACUAAGUCCGAAGUGUUUCAUUAACUGGAUAAUAUCCUUCCUAAAACGAUCUUGUGCUGGUCCAUUUGUAUUAGCUGUUAAGGCGAGGGCAUCAUCUUUGUAGAUGGCGAAAUGUACGUUAGGGAAUGUCUUACCGAAGGUAUCUAGGAGAAAGAGUCCAAUUAGAUCACAGAUGCCUGCCCCAUCAUAUGAACCCAUGCUCACAUCGAAAGCGCCCUCCGUGUCGGUGUUUUUUACCCACUUUGCAUUCUCACUGAAAAGUAAUGUCUUUCUAGCAUGGAAGAUUAUAUCCUUAUCAUUGGUACUAAUUUCUAUGAAGUCACUAGCGAAGAUUAGGGCUUUAUCUAGCAGUUCUUUAGAGAUAGAGGCAUAAAAAUCAACAAUAUCGAAUUGUGUAAACCUCGCUUUUUCUUAUUCUUAAUAGCUUUAAACCAGUCUACGACCUCUAUACUAUUGGACCAUUGCACUAGCCUAGUAUCGGUCUUAAUUUUCGUAUUUAUUUUAUCUAAAAUUUCUUUGCUAAUAAUCCCUAGUUCUGUGUUAUUUCUAGCCUCUCAUCUAAUGAGGACAUCUUCAAUAGCGUUGCCCCAGUUUAUAAUAAAGCUUUAAAAGAUAGUGGUUUUAGCGAAAAAAUAAAAUAUACACCUAUCACCAGCCCAACAAUAAGGAAAAGGAAUAAUAGAAAUAGGAAGGUCAUCUGGUUUACGCCCCUUACUCACCCGAGGUGGCCUUCAAUAUAGGUAAAUAUUUCCUAGCACUGAUAGAUAGACAUUUUCCAGUUAACCAUGCUUAUAGGAAACUCUUCAAUAGACACAAUUUAAAAAUUAGUUUUAGUUCAACUACCAAUUUUAAAAACAUAAUCAAUCAUAACAUACAAAAAACACAAGAAGAAAACAGCUGUUCAUGCAGGAAUAAAGAAUUGUGCCCGCUAAAUGGAGCUUGCAUGUCCAAGACCAUCAUAUAUGAAGCUACCGUAAACUCUAUAACCACUAAAGACACCGUUUCGACGAAGAAAUACGUGGGCCUGACAGAGGGUAAUUUCAAGGCCAGGUUCAAUAACCACACUUUGAGCUUUAGGCACUGGAACAAAAGAAAAGCGACACAAUUAUCCAAUCAUAUUUGGUCUUUAAGAGAUAAAGGUGUCGAUUAUAACAUACAAUGGAAGAUUUUGGCCAGAUGUAAGCCCUAUACUAACGGCAGCGGAAGGUGCGGUUUAUGCGACAUGGAGAGAUGGCUUAUCUGGAAAAGCAGCUUAGACCCUACCACAUGUCUAAAUACAAGGACAGAGCUUUUCGGAUCAUGCCCACAUGUGACUAAAUUUCUGUUACGUUUUUGGUCCCCUAAAGAAAACGGAUAGAACAUGCUUUCUGUGUUAUGUCCCAAGAAGAUUUUAUAUAUUUUUAUAUAUUUUUAUAUAUUUUUAUGUAUUUUUAUAUAAUUUUUAUGACGAAAAAUGCGAGCGAUGUAUAAGUACGCAGGCAAAGCAGAGUUAUAACAGAGUAAUUUCCCUUCAUUUUUAACGGUAUUUUUUCAUAACGUUUUCAAAUAGCCAGAUAACCGAAGAGAUGGUGUUGUGGAUUUCCACUUCGGCAUCUGAAACUCAGAGUUUUAUCUUGACUACCGAGUAAUGUAACAUAUUGUAUAGAUAAAUUUCCUCUAUUUACGUAAUAUUGAGGUCUCUUUCUUUCUUUUGUUAUCUUACCGUUUUAUCAAUAUAUAUAUAUAUAUAUAUAUAUAUAUAUAUAUAUAUAUAUAUAUAUAUAUAAGUCGGAUGUAGAGGGUUUGUAGGACACAGCGUGAGACGACUGUUAUCACUAGGCCUAACUCAUCGUAAAGUCAAUACCACCAUGACUGAUAUCCAAUCUACAGUGGAGAAGGCUAGCCACUGGAUUUGGUUAAAAAGAGACGAUGAGCGAUGGCUAGAAGUAUAUUGAGUUCUUCAUAACCAGCUGAUCUAGCAAGCGGGGCCUCAUAUCAGUGAGGGAGCCGGUGCGCAUUGAUGCCGUCGAGAGGUAGGCCCCGAAACGGCGCGCAUUCUCUCCUGAUGACCCCAUACACUUGCUAGCUUCCGAUAUACGGAGCUUUUAACUGGUAGCACUUGCAUGUGCAAAUUGUUUGCAAGACAUAUAUAUAUAUAUAUUAAACUUAUAUAUACAUAUAAAAUUCUUUUUAUUAUAACUGAACAUAAAAACAAACGACCAACUUCUUCCUGUUAUUUUUUCCUCCAUUUUCUACUUGCCUAUAAUUUAAACUACGGUUUACCCGCCGAAUUACCUGCUACCGUAUGCCAUUUACCAAGGACUGUACCUGCGCAAGUAAUCACCAGGAGUGCCUUUGGAUUUAACCAUCCUUUAGAGGUUUUGAACACUUCUAACUUAUACAUACACACACACACAUAUAUAUAUGUAUUUGUAUAUGCAUGUAUCGUAUAUGUGUAUGAAUGUAUCUCUCUCUCUCUCUCUCUCUCUCUCUGUAUAUAUAUAUAUAUAUAUAUGUGUGUGUAUAUAUAUAAAUAUAUAUGUAUAUGUAUAUAUAUAUAUAUAUAUAUAUAUAUAUAUAUAUAUAUAUAUAGGCGCAGGAGUGGUUGUGUGGUAAGUAGCUUGUUUGAUCAGUGUGUCUGCUAAGCCUUUCAGAUGACCUCGUUUUGCUAUAUUGUCUAAGACAACUAAUAUUAAUACAAAUAUCGUUGAUGUACCUCUUUAAGGGAAUCCCAUAUUGGUUACUUGAAACUAUUCAACCUCUCGCCUUUUGACUCUUGUACAUCCAUUGAAAGCUGUUCUUCUUGGACACAUGGAAUAAUAACUGUUUCUAAGACAGGCACUUAACCAGAAAUUUUUGAGAACAAGACUGAUAUCUAUUUUUCUGACUUCGAAAGGAUGAAUGACUAAGUUGGCCUGGACGAAUUUGAACUCAGAACGUAAAAAGCCGAUUGAAAUGUCGGUAAGCAUUCUGGCCGACGCUUUAGCAAUUUUGUCAACUCGUCGCCUUUGAUUUUAAAUGUUGGCACAAGGUCAACAAUGUAGUACUUGUACGUACAUAUUUUAUCGACUUCCAAAUGUAAAGAGGUUUCACCUCAGAAUGUAAAGAACUGUAAAUAACUCCUGCAAGGUAUUUUGACAAAAUCUUUAUCGGUGUUAUUGAUCUACGCAGAUAAUCAUUUGGAAAUGUCUGCUUUGACAAAAAGAAAAAAAGAAAAAAGGGAAAACAAAAUGAAGGUAAGCUUGACAGAUAUAAUAACCAAGGAAAGAAAGGAAAACGUCAAUACUACGACGUACAUCUUGAUGACUUCUGUCCAAAACGCAAGGAAUUAGAGAAACUGUUAAUGUACAAGAAUCCAGAAAUCGUAAGCAGGAUGUGGGUCAUAGAAAUAAAAUCUGUACCAAUAAUAGCUGGAGCUAUAAUAUCAAAAAUACGAAUAAAAAUACGGGUCAUAUUAGAACUCACAAAGAUAGUUAUGGGCCUAAUGAUAGCCUUAAUAGAGUCCGUAAAGACCAAAUCCGAUACAUGAUUUUUUUUUAGUUCUAAAGCACAACAGCACCAGUACAUUCCUUGUACACAAUAUAAACUAAAACUGGUCCUCCGUCGGUUACGACAACGACUGUUCCAGUUGCUGUUAUCAAUGGAUCAGCCUGCUCGUGAAAUUGUCAUGCAAGGGGCUGAGUACUCCACAGACACGCGUACCCGAACCGUAUUCUCAGGAAGAUUUAGUAUGACACAGUAUUACAGGUACAAUUGAUCUUUGACUGGAUUAACGUGAAAUAAAGUGUCUUGCUCAAGGAUGCAACGUGUCACCGAGAAUUGAACUCACGACUUUACGAUCGUAAGCCGCAUACCCUAACCACUAAGCCACUUGUCUUCACUCACAUAUACAUAGGCGCAGCGUUACUGUGUGGUAAGAAGCUUGCCUCCCAACCACACGGUUCCAGAUUCAGUCCCACUGCAUGGUACUUUGGGCAAGUGUCUUCUAUUAUAGCCUCGGGCCGACCAAAGCCUUGUGAGUAGAUUUGGUAGACGGAAACUGAAAGAAGCCAUCGUAUAUGUAUAUAUAUAUAUAUAUAUAUAUAUAUAUAUUUAUAUUUGUGUGUGUGUGCUUAUCCUCCCACCAUCGCUUGACGACCGACGGUGGUGUGUUUAUGUCCCCGUAACUUAGCGGUUUGGCAAAAUGAACCGAUAGAAUAAGUACUACACUUACAAAGAAUAAGUCCUGGGGUUGAUUUGUUCGACUAAAGGCGGUGCUCCAGCAUGGCGCUGCAAUCAAAUGACUGAAACAAGUAAAUGACAGUAAAUGACAUACGUAUAUAAUAUUAAAUAUAUCAAAUAAAGUGUAAAACACACAUAGUAUAAAAAAUUAACUCCAGUCCUCGGGGCCACUAGAUUUAGUGUGUAUAUAAACAGGCGUAGGAGUGGCUGUGUAGUAAGUAGUUUGCUUACCAACCACAUGGUUCCGGGUUCAGUCCCACUGCGUGGCACCUUGGGCAAGUGUCUUCUACUAUAGCCUCGGGCCGACCAAAGCCUUGUGAGUGGAUUUGGUAGACGGAAACUGAAAGAAGCCCGUCGUAUAUAUAUAUAUAUAUAUAUAUAUAUAUAUAUAUAAAUAUAUGUAUGUAUGUGUGUCUGUGUUUGUCUCCCCAACAUCGCUUGAUAACCGAUGCUGGUGUGUUUACGUUCCCGUAACUUAGCGGUUCGUCAAAAGAAGCCGAUCGAAUAAGUACUAGGCUUACAAAGAAUAAACUGUGGGGUCGAUUUGCUCGACUAAAGGCGGUGCUCCAGCAUGGCCACAGUCAAAAUGACUGAAACAAGUAAAAGAGAAUGGCUACUUGUUUCUCUGGGAUUGGUCACAUGAUGUAAACACCUCUGAUGAGACCCCAAUAAGAGUCGAAAAUCGAUUCAGGCAACUCAUUAGCGAAAUAGUUAAAUUUCAUAUGGGAAAUCGAAAUCACCGCUUUCCGAUCGUGAAUCGAAUACCCUGACCACUAAGCCACGUACUUUCACAUACACACAAUACCACGCAAUAAAAGAACUCACACAAAAAAAAUAUUUUUCGGAAUCACUACAAAAGAAUACAACACAACACAUGUGCUUAACUGACGCUGAUUCUGUGUUAUAUGUUUUACUGAUUGUGUAAGGUAAUAGCAAUUCGUCCAACUCACAUUAUACAGUCACCAUCAAUAAUAUAACACAAUAUAACACUGUUAUAUAACUAAUAUCUGAUAUCCUGUAUACGCAAUUGAAACAGAAUUGAAUUAAAACAUCCAUCUGUCUACCAUAUAAUCUAUAUACAUAACCUAUCUACAUCGUUCAUAGGCAAGUUACUGCGGUAUUCGUUCAUGAUAACAUCUCUUAUAGUCAAGCUGUAUAUAUAUAUAUAUAUAUAUAUAUAUAUAUAUAUAUAUAUAUAUAUAUAUGGUAUAUAUAUAUGGAAAGGGUAAAAAAAUUGGUCUCAGCUGCGGUUAGCAAGAACGCCAGAUAUAGUUCAGCCUUGUGUAGUCGUUUCGUAUAGGCAAUUGAUGAAGGCCCAUCAUUAUGGUUCUUUGGAGUAAAACGUGUCUCGGAACUUUAACAAAAACUUGCGUUCAUCCUGAUUAUUCCGAUGUGUGUGUGUGUGCGUGUGUGUGUGUGUGUGUGUGUGUGUGUGUGUGUGUGUUUGCGCGUGCGUGUGUAUGGUCGGUAAAACAUCAAUCCAAAAUAGAAACACACUCUAGGUUAUAGAGCAGUAUAUUAUAUAGACAAACUUAUCUAAAUUUAUCUAUAUGAAUGUGUGUGUGUGUGUGUAUGUCCACUAUUGGUCCCAGGUCUAGCAUCUGUUAGGGUCCCAUCUAACUAGCAUUUGAUCAAUAGGAGUGAAGGACCCUUAUUUCUCGUCAGAACUUCCGUCUAGAACAGCGUAUCCCAACCGGGGUUCCUCUGAACACUAGGGUUCCGCGAAGAAGAGUGAGAUAAGCUAAUGCUAAUUUCAUGAUCGUAAUAUUACUAUACAUGCACAGGGCGGCGAGCUGGCAAAACCGUUAGCACGCCGGGCGAAAUGCGUAGCCGUAUUUCGUCUGCCGCCACGUUCUGAGUUCAAAUUCCGCCGAGGUCGACUUUGCCUUUCAUCCUUCCAGGAUCGAUUAAAUAAGUACCAGUUACGCACUGGAGUCGAUGUAAUCGACUUAAUCCGUUUGUCUGUCCUUGUUUGUCCUUCUCUGUGUUUAGCCCCUUGUGGGUAGUAAAUAAAUAGGUAUUUCCUUUGUUUUUACGUUCUAAGUUCAAAUUCCGCCGUAGUCGACUUUGCCUUUUAUCCUUUCAUAAUCGAUAAAUUAAGUACCAGUUGUGUGCUGGGGUCGAUCUAAUCGACUGGUUCCCUUCCCUCAAGAUUUCGGGCCUUGUGCCUAGAGUAGAAAAGAUUACAUGCACAGCAUAUUACUGGCUAUUGUAAUAUUUUAAUAUAUAUACAUAAUCCUACCUAAUCUAUUAUGUUAUCAAAAAAAUAUAACAACCAUAAGGACAGUAAUACAACUUUCAAGCUGGAAUGGCCCAUAUUGUCUGUAUCCUUUCCGUUUGAUAAAGGCAGAAAAUUUUGUGGCGUCUGUAAUUCCGAACUUUUCCAUAUUUUGUUCGCCAAAGUUCCUUUAAUAAAUACAAUAGUCGAGAAAUCCUUUAGAUGCAUGCACUGGCAAAAACACACCUUUCACUCAUAUGAAUAAUGAUUAAUAUAGAUAACCUUGAAUUUUAAUAAUAUAGUCCCAUUUAUAUAUCACCCCCAUAGUCAAUUUUGAUACUCUUAAAGAACUACUACCCAACCCAUUGAGGUGUGUUUUACCUUUAUCUCUCUAACUCGCCCUCCUCUCUCUCUCUCUCUUUCCCUCUCUCUAUCGUAAUCACAAUCAAACACACAGACAAAAACCUGUCAAUUCACCACUGUCUAUUUUUAGCAUCUAUCCAUCCACACACACAAUCACGCACACACAUACACACACAUAGCCAUUAGUGCAGUUAUAUACAUACACACACAUAGGCACUCAUUCACAAAAGAAAACAACAAAAUCACCAUUCAUUUGACCUGCACCCUUUUACCUUCCUAUUCUUAGGUCUCUCUCCCCCAACCUUGUUUGAACCCUUGAACCUUCUAGAAUCUUCUACAUUCAACCAUUUUUGACGUCACUGCUUAUAACGGAAUAUUUUAAAGAAACACUCAUUAUCGCUAUGGGCUCCGUGUGGGCAGGCAUCUCAAAAUUUUUGUGCAUCUUGAUGCUGACAUAAGUUCCUUACUUUUCCUGAUGAGAAGGCGGCAUAAUGCACCCCUUAUUCCUUCGAAAUUAGGAAUAUGCAGCCUUCGAAACAUAUGUCGAAAAUAAAAUAAAGGAAUUUUGUUAAUUCGUCGUUCAACUCCAUUCUUUCAUUUAUUUGUAUUCAAAAAAACACACAAAUUUCCACACGAUAGCACGUGAUCUCUGCCCUAGGCAUGUAGCUUCAACCGUGUUUUUCUCACGUGAAUUUGCUACCCAGGUAUCGGUUAACCGAAUUAUCCAUAAUAAGAUAAUUCAUUCAACUACAUAUAUAUAUAUAUAUAUAUAUAUAUAUAUACAAUUGCAGCGUGGAAGGUAUUUGUAAGCCAUUUAAGAAACACACAAAAGCCGUUCGAUUCACUUCAACAUUUAAGUUUCAUUUGUCAAAAUAUUUUCGUCGCUUUAAGACAGCGACCUGUUCACGGAUUUUUGUCUGUGAACAGGUCGCGGUCUUAAAGCGACGAAAAUAUUUUGACAAAUUAAACUUAAAUGUUGAAGUGAAUCAAACGGAUUUUAUGUGUUUCUUAAAUGGCCUAUAAUCACCUUCCACGCUGCAAUUGUUUUCGUUUCAGCACACGAUCUCAGAUCAAAUCACUUGCUAUGCAAGUACAUCUCCGUAAUAUAUAUAUAUAUAUAUAUAUAUAUAUAUAUAUAUAUAUAUAUAUAUAUAUAUAUAUAUAUAUAUAUAUAUCAGCAAUCAAGGAACGGCCAUAAUAGGCCAUUCACCCACUAGAAAUAACAGCCAAAGCUUCAACCGCAAAUAAAAAUUAAUUCCGUAAACCAGGAGAAAAUUUGGAAGAUUGGCUUGAUUUAAUUUAAUCAGGUUAGUUUACCAUUAAUCAGCAGAUGAAACGGUAUAUCGUAUAAGAAAUUACAGGGUAAAUGUUUUUUAAAUUUUCUCCUGGUUUACGGAAUUAAUUUUUAUUUGCGGUUGAAGCUUUGGCUGUUAUUUCUAGUGGGUGAAUGGCCUAUUAUGGCCGUUCCUUGAUUGCUGAUGUUGAACUUAAAAAUGGUCUAUGACUAUUUAAUUUUUUCCCACUAGGCCGCUGGUGGCAAAAGAAUUCUACAAAAUUUUUUUUUGCCACCCUAUAUUGAUUAAUUAUAUAUAUAUAUAUAUAUAUAUAUACGUUAUUUACCACAUGAACUAUGAUGAAAAAAUAUUAGAAAGAUAUGGUAUAUAAUUUUUUUGUGCAAAUGUUCCUUGAGACAUGUAAUUUAUUUUAAGGGUUAUGCAAAAGUAAAAAAAGUUGAGAAACACUGAUCUAGAAGAUAAAUUCUAAUAAAAAAGAAUAACUGAAGGUGCAGUUGGGUUCCAGUCGCCUCAACCUGUUUUUUAUAAAUUUUUUACCAUUGAGUUUUUUUUUAAUAACUUUUUUACCCUUGCGUAACCCUUAAAAUAAAGGCUGAAAAGUGGUUUCAGUGCAGUGCCAAAUUUUAUCCACUCAAAACAAAUUCAAGCUUCAGGAACUUCUUGGAAUCUCGGAAGGUUUCCCCGGACUAACUGAGUUUCGGGAGUGGUCUUACACGAUCGUGAGUUCACUUCCACGGUGAAUAUUCUUUCACUUGUUUCAGUCAUUUGAGUGCACUGCAGCCAUGCUGGAGUACCGCCUUUAGUCGAACAGAUUGACCCCACGACUUAUUCUUUGUAAGCUUAGUACUUAUUCUGUCGGUCCGAACCGCUAAGUUUUUGCCCGGACCGCUAAGUUACGGGGACGUAAACGCACCCACAUCAGUUGUCAAGCGAUGAGAGCGGGGACAAACACAGAUAAACACACACACAAACACACACACACACACACACAUAUAUAUAUACGACGAGUUUCUUUCAGUUUCCGUCUAACAAAUCCACUCACAAGGCUUUGGUUGCCCGAGGCUAUAGUAGAAGUCUUUUGCCCAAGGUGCCACUGAACCCGGAACCAUAUAGUUGGGAAGCAAACGUGUUUGCUACGCAGCCACUCCUGCGCCUAUAUGUGUAUACAUACAUACAUACAUACAUACAUACAUACAUACAUACAUACAUACAUACAUACAUACAUACAUACAUACAUACAUUCAUACAUACAUACAUAUACAUAUAUAUAUAUAUAUAUAUAUAUAUAUAUAUAUAUAUAUAGUAUGUAUAUAUAAAACCUACCUUUUAUUUGUUUAUAUAUUUAUAACGUUCCUUUUAUUUGUUUGGGGAACCGCCAUAAAGUGCUUUAGACGAACAAAUCGAUCUUAGAACUUAUUUCUUAUGCCUAGCACUUAUUCUAUUGUUGUUUUGCUGAAGCGCUAAGUUAUGGGGACGUAAACACACCAACACCAGUUGUCAAGAAGUGGUGACGGACGAACACAUACACACAUACGCACGCGCGCACACACACACACACACACACACACACGUACACACACACAUACACACACAUACGUAUGUAUGUUUCCGUCUACCAAAUCCACUUACAAGGCUUUGUAGAAGACGCCCAUGGUAUCACGCACUGAGACUGAACCCGGAACCAUGUGAUUGGAAAGCUUCUUAUUACACAGCCACACCUGCGUCCUGUGUGUGUGUGUGUGUAAAAUGCCAAAUUAUAUUAUAUCAUAUUAAAUUCUUAUAGUACCGCAUAUGAAGAAAGCCGUUCCGCUAUCUUGGAUUAUGUUUCUUAAAUCGUUAUUCUCAUAUCAAUAAACUGCUAUAAUAAUAAUAAUAAUAAUAAUAAUAAUAAUAAGAAGAAGAAGAAGAAGAAGAAGAAGAAGAAGAAGAAGAAGAAGAAGAAUGAUAAUAAUGAUAAUAAUAAUAAUAAUAAUAAUAAUAAUAAUAAUAAUAAUAAUAAUAAUAAUAAUAAUAAUAAUAAUAAUAAUAAUAAUAAUAAUAAUAAUAAUAAUAAUAACAACAACAACAACAAGAACAACAACAGCAACGACAACAACUACAAAAGACGAUGAAACAAAGCAACAACAAUAAAAACACCAACGGAAACAAUAGAAAAUUACAAAGAAUAUCUGGAAACAAACGGAAACUUUAAAUAAAAACUGCAAUAACUGAAGCAGCGACUACAUCGAGCAAUAAUAAUAAUAAUAAUGAUAAUAAUAAUAAUAAUAAUAAUAAUAAUAAUAAUAAUAAUAAUAAUAAUAAUAAUAAUAAUAAUAAUAAUAAAAUUAUUAAUAAGAGGCAGUGGAGUAUAAAUUAAGACAUGACAGAGUUGGCCAAUAUCUACACUGGCUAAUAAGUCGGCAUUACAAUAUCAAAACUGCCGACAAGUGGUAUAAUCACCACCCUGAGGCUGUAACUGAAGGAGAAAAUGUAACCAUUCUGUGGGACUUUCCAGUACAUACAGACCGAACCAUCAAGGCCAAUAAACCAGAUAUUGUUGUGAAAGAUCAAAACAAUAAAGUUUGCUUAUUGAUCGACAUGAGCAUCCCCUGUGAUCAUAAUAUCUCAGCGAAAGAGUUUGACAAGCUCAGAAAAUAUAAAGACCUACUCAUUGAAAUUGAGAAAAUGUGACAUCUCAAGGCGGUUACAAUACCAGUGAUCGUAGGAGCACUAGGAAUGAUCAAGAAGGGAACCGAAAAUUAUAUGAGAAUGAUCCCUGGCUUACCAUCCCUGCAAGAAGUGCAAAAGAUUGUCUUAACUGGUACAUCACACGUAUUGAGAAGAGCAUUGUCGAUGUGAGAACUGUUGCUGCUCAUGUAUUUUAAUUUAACUUAAAAAAAAAUUUUUUUUUAAUUAAAAAAAAUGAACGAACUAUUGAGUUUGGUUUAAUGGCCUACCAAUGUAUACUAUGAGUUUCUUUGCCCUAGGAGUCGGGAAGACACUCGGCAAGAAAUGGAAGCAAAUUUGAAAGAAGAAAAAAAAAUUAAAAUAAUAAUAAUAAUAAUAAUAAAUGCUUUCUAAUUGAUGUAUCAAUACCAGCAGAUGACAACGUGUCUCUAAAAGAAAUGGAGAAACUUUCAAAAUACAAAGACCUGGAAAUAGAGGUAACCAGAAUGUGGAAUCUAAAAACAGAAGCAAUUCCUAUCAUAAUAGGUGCAUUAGGCAUGAUAAAAAAUAUUCAGACAAAUACAUAACAAAAGCACCAGGACUUGCAAACACAUAUAACAUACAGAAAAUUGCACUACUAGGCACUGCACACAUCCUACGCAGAACACUUUCCAUACAGUAACCAUCAGAGCAUCACAACAAAUCACAGCACAUACCCAAGGCACACAGAGCUGCGCUCGGUAGUGAAGGGAAAGCACGUUAUAAAAAUAAAACUACUGAAUAAUAAUAAUAAUAAUAAUAAUAAUAAUAAUAAUAAUAAUAAUAAUAAUAAUAAUAAUAAUGAUAAUAAUAAUAAUAAUAAUAAUAAUAAUUAAUUCUGGUUAAUAAUAAUAAUAAUAAUAAUAAUAAUAAUAAUAAUAAUAAUAAUAAUAAUAAUAAUAAUAAUAAUAAUAAUUAAUUCUGGUUUAAUAAUAAUAGUAAUAGUAAUAAUAAUAAUAAUAAUAAUAAUAAUAAUAAUAAUAAUAAUAAUAAUAAUAAUAAUAAUAAUAAUGAUAAUAAUAAUAAUAAUAAUAAUAAUAAUAAUAAUAAUAAUAAUAAUAAUAAUAAUAAUAAUUAAUUCUGGUUUAAUAAUAAUAGUAAUAAUAAUAAUAAUAAUAAUAAUAAUAAUAAUAAUAAUAAUAAUAAUAAUAAUAAUAAUAAAUGCCCUGACGCAGUACCAGGCAGUGGCUCUCAUGGCUUCUGAUCUUAACUGAUUGGAAGUGUUAUCAUGUACAUUGUUUUGUCUUGGUAUAAAAGAUGGGCUACAGCAAAUAUUCUGCUCAAUACCACAGAUUUGCUUGUCAGUUGUUUGACCUUAACCAAUUGAGCAUGUCCCUUAGUGGCUGACGAUGUGUGCAUCUCUGAUCACGAGCAGAAGUAGUGGGGGAGCAUCAUAGCCAUGUGUUGAGAGGGAUUCUUUGGGGUUUGAAUAGUUCACUUCUGGAAACAUGGGUGGUUCUUUCAACAUCCUUAAACAACCCUUAUUCAGGGACCGUUUGAGCGGGAUGGGCUACUCAACCUGAAGAAAAUUCUAACUGGGCCCCACCUGCAAGGUCAUGUGCUGUUUAUCUUGAUAUGAGAUCACCAUGUCGCGCACAUAUGGUUGUGAUGCAUGUGCCUGGUGUACCUUUAUCAGACGGGUAGUCAUGAUGGGUAUAUUGGGCUUCGUAUAUUUUACCCCAGUGUCACUUUGAUGGCAUGAACUGCUCUCUCACUCAAUAAUAAUAAUAAUAAUAAUAGUAAUAAUAAUUGUUAUUUUUUUAAAAACAAGAUUAUUAAAAACCCCUUUCUUAAAUUUGAAUUUAUAGAAGAUUCAAAUUUAUACAAGGACUUGUUUUUAUAAAAAAAAAGUAAUCCUGUCUAGAAAGCAAAAGGAAAAAGUGUAAGACUUUUCUUGUAAGUUAGAGCAUUUUGAAUAUGUUGAAUAAUAACUUACAACCCUGAAAUAGCCCGUUCCAGUUAAUUAGAGUACACACAAACAGAUGAAGAGACUGAACACACACACACACACACACACACACACACAUACAUAUAUAUAUAUAUAUAUAUAUAUAUAUAUAUAUAUAUAUAUAUAUAAGCGACUAACCGGUGGGUUGAAGCCAAAAUUAUUAACUCAAUUUUUAUCCUUAUUAAUACAAUCAGAGUGUAAAAAAGGAGCAAUGAAUUUAUAAUUGUAGUUAGUUUUAAUUUAGUUCAAGAAUUAAUUAAACUGUUCAAAUUAUUUCCCUUCACAAUUAACACACCAUUUUAAAUACAUUUUCAAAUGCAAUUAGGAGAAAUGGAAACAAUUAGUUAAUUCCAAUUGCAACAUAUUUUCUAACAAAAGUGAACAGAAAUUUCUGGACUGAUAGUUUACAUAUGUAUGUGAGCGUUUUUAUAUAUAUAUAUAUAUAUAUAUAUAUAUAUAUAUAUAUAUAUAUAUAUAUAUAUAUAUAACUAUAUACAAAUGUAUAUAAGUAUAUAAAUAAAUGUAUAUAUGUAUAUAUAUAUAUAUAUAUAUAUAUAUAUAUAUAUAUAUAUAUACAUGUACAUAGAUACAUACAUAAAUACACGCAUACAUAUACAUACCUGUAACUUACACACCAUAUAUUAUCAAUAUAUGCAUACAUGUAAGUAAAUAGUUAACUACACACACACACACACACACAUAUAUAUAUAUAUAUGUUAGUCAUAAAAUAUAGUGUACAUUUAAACACAUGAGGAAUUCACUUGUGGGAUUCAACACGCUAGAAAGAGCAGCUAGGUUCCAUAACCACAAGAUAUAUAUAUAUAUAUAUAUAUAUAUAUAUAUAUAUAUAUAUAUAUAUAUAUAUAUAUAUAUAUGUAUAAAAAAUAUAUAUAAAAAUACAAAAUGGGACAAGAACGCAAAAGACUCAAAGUGACGACAUAAAAAACGGGCGGGUCUUUCGAAGCCUCUAAUCUUCAGUCAAGAACCGGAUCAUCCUCGCAAUUUCGGCCGAUUAAUCUUGAGAUCGCUCCGAUCCGGCCAGCUCCAAGGAAAAACUAAGCUACGAGCAUUAGAUUUCUUGGAAAAAGGAUCGAAUGUAUACGAAACAAGGGCAGAAAAACGGACGAUGCCACACGAAUAUAAAACAAUAAUAGUAAUAACAGGACAAAAACAGCGGGUGUCUUACGACUUUAGAUAGUUCAACUUAGCUUAGCUGGCGUAUUUGGAAAAAAAUGCCUUUACGGCAGACGAAGAAAUCGGUGUUGUCGUGGCGGUGGUCAGAAGCUGAAAGGCUAGUUGACCGGCGGUCACGCGAGAGGAGAAGAGAGAGAAAAAAGGGGGCAAAGGAAUCAAAUAGAGAGAGAAAAAGAGGGACAAAGGCACCAAAGGGAUAUAUAUAUAUACAAAAUAUUCUAUAAUUAUAUACAUAAAUAUAAUUAUAAUUAGGGGUCAGCUUAGCCACGUGCCGAAAUUAGAAAUAGAAGCCAAUGCCAUUAUAUAUACAUAUAUAUAUAUAUAUAUGUGUGUGUGUGUGUGUGUGUGUGUGUGUGUGUGUGUGUCCGUGUCCCUUUCUUAUCAUACCUAGGGCACCCACAAUAACAGGAACAGUUCUCGCUUUAAGAUGCCACACCUUUUGUAUUUCUAUUUCCAGGUCCUUAUAUUUACUUAAUUUCUCAAAUUCCUUUACAGAUGUAUUUUUAUCAAUGGGAACACUUACAACUAUUAAUCUACAAGUAUUGUCUUCUCUGUCUUUAAUGACUAUGUCUGGCCCAUUAGCUUGGGUUCGUUCUGUCUGUGUUGGAAAAUCCCAGAGGAUAGUGACAUUUUUACCUUCAACGACUGGUUCAAGAUGAUGUUCAUACCAGUAAGCAGGAGUACUAAUUUUGUAGUGUUUACAUAUUAUCCAAUGUAAAUAUUGUCUUAUCCUAUCAUGGCGAUUUUUGCAUUCGUUUGGUGUCAGCACAGAACAUCCCGGGACGAGAUGGUCUAUUGUUUCAUCAAAUCUAUCGCAAGAAUCUGCAUUUAGGGUCAAAACCUUUUUGAAAAACGUCAGCCUGGUAGUGUUUGGUAAGCAAGCUUUGAUCUCGUGUUGUUAUUAUUAUUAUUAUUAUUAUUAUUAUUAUUAUUAUUAUUAUUAUUAUUAUUAUUAUUAUUAUUAUUAUUAUUAUUAUUAUUAUUAUUAUUAUUAUUAUUAUUAUUAUUAUUAUUAUUAUUGAGUGAGAGAGCAGCGCAUACCAUCAAAGUGACUCUGGGAUACAAAUAUACGAAACCCUGUACACCCAUCAUGACCACCCGUCUGAUAAGCGCAUAUCAGGCACAUGCACCACAACUAUAUGUGCGCAACAUGGUGAUUUCAUGCUCAACUGGUUACGGUCAGACAACUGACAAACUAAUCUGUGCUACUGAGCAUAAUAUUUGCUGUAACCCAUCUUUUAUAACAAAACAAAACAUGUACAUGAUAACAUUUCCAAUCAGUUAAGAUCAGAAGCCAUGAGAGCCAGUGUCUUUUGGUAAUCCAUUAUUAUUAUUAUUGUUGUUGUUGUUGUUGUUGUUAUCAUUAUUAUCAUCAUUAUUAUGAAGGCAGUGAGCUGGCAGAAUAGUUAGCGCGCUGGACGAAAUGCUUAGUGGCGUUUCGCACAUAGCUAUGUUCUGAGUUCAAAUACCACCGAGGUUGACUUUGCCUUUCACCCUUCAGAGUUGAUAAAAUAAUUACUAAUUGAACACUUGGGUCGAUAUAAUUGACUCAUCCCCUUUCCCAAACUGCUUCCCCUGUGGCAAAAUUUGAAACCAUUAUUAUCAUUAUUAUUAUUAUUAUUAUUAUUAUUAUUAUUAUUAUUAUUAUUAUUAUUAUUAUUAUUAUUAUUAUUAUUAUUUGUUUGGAUGCGUGUGUGUGUAAGUCUGUAUGCAUGCCUAGAUGGAUGUCUGUCCAUAAAUGUAUAUCUUAAAGUGAGAACUGUUCCUGUUAUUGUGGGUGCCCUAGGUAUGAUAAGAAAGGGACACACUCACACACACACACACACACACACGCACACGCGCACACACACACACACACACACACAUAUUAUGUAUAUAUUAAUGCCGAUAACUAUGCACCUGUAUGUUUGUUGAAUGAGUAAAAAAAAAAAACUUGGUAGAUGUGCACACAUGCAUACUGAUACACAUCAUAUAUGUAUCAGCAAAAUGAAACAGGAAAUUUUCAACUAAUUAUAUGAUGAGUGUCAGCAGGUAUGUUUGCGCGCCUACCAAUUUCUUUUUCACAUUAAAUUCCCAUAUAAUCCGAAUAUACGCCAGGUGAAAAUUAUUUUCGGAAUAUUUCAUUAAAAAAUACCCAUUUUGCAGAUUCUCUUUACUCUCUUUUACUCUUUUACUUGUUUCAGUCAUUUGACUGCGGCCAUGCUGGAGCACCGCCUUUAAUCGAGCAACUUGACCCCGGGACUUAUUCUUUGUAAGCCCAGUACUUAUUCUAUCGGUCUCUUUUGUCGAACCGCUAAGUGACGGGGACAUAAACACACCAGCAUCGGUUGUCAAGCAAUGCUAGGGGAACAAACACAGACACACAAACAUACACGCACACAUAUAUAUAUAUAUACAUAUAUAUACGACGGGCUUCUUUCAGUUUCCGUCUACCAAAUCCACUCACAAGGCCUUGGUCGGCCUGGGGCUAUAGCAGAAGACACUUGCCCAAGGUGCCAUGCAGUGGGUCUGAACCCGGAACCAUGUGGUUCGUAAACAAGCUACUUACCACACAGCCACUCCUGCGCCUGUUAUGAGGAAAUAAAUUCGACUCACUCGUAUGUAUUAUCCGAACUCUUUUCCCCAACUCCUAAUAAAUUUUUCACAGCAAAUUUUGAUAUAGUCAUAAUCUACACCAUUUGAAGGAUAUUUGCGGAAAAUUUCAUUGAAAAGAAAUAUCCAUUUGUAGAAAGUCCAGAGGAAACAAUGUCGGAACCUACAUAUCAUAUUUUGUUAAGAUUAAAGACACAAGUAAGAACAAAUGAAACGAAACAAUCGGAAAAAAUGCGUCAAUAUAAUUUGGGAAGAAUAGUUGUACAGGCCGAAGCACACUCACAUACGCAUGCACACAUUCACGUACACAGAGUGUGCUCAUCAAGACCACCUCUCACACAUUUACCCUCAUAUACAUACAUAUAUAUAUAUAUAUAUAUAUAUAUGUGUGUGUGUGUGUGUGUGUGUGUGUGUGUGUGUGUGUGUGUGUGUGUGUAAAAUAAAUGCGCCCUUUUAAAGCCUAAUCAGGCUCAUGGGCCCGGUUUCCCGGUUUCAAUGGCGUGUGUGUUCCCCAGCUGGACAGGACGCCAGUCCAUCGCAGCGUUACUCAUUUUGGCUGCUGAGUGGACUGGAGCAACGUGAAAUGAAGUGUUUUGCUCAAGAACACAACGCGUCGCUCGGUCCAGGAAUCGAACCCACAAUCUUACGAUCAUGAUGCAGACCCAUCAACUCGAAACCACGCGCCUCCGCCUCCACACACACACACACACACACACACACACACACACACACACAUAUAUAUAUAUAUUGGGUUGUCCGGAAAGUUCGUGCCAAUUUUUAAAGGAAAGAAAAAGAUCAAUAAAUACUUGCCAUUACAUUUUUAUUCAUCCAAAUAUGUACCAUUUUGUUGCACAAUGCGUCUCCAUCUUUCCUUUAACUUGAAAAUACCCUCUUCCCAGAAUUCAGGUGGUUUCAUGGCAAAUAAUUCAUCAAAGUAUCUUUUUACGUCAUCCAAGGAGUUGAAAUUUUUACCAUUAAGACUAUUCUGCAGAGACCUGAAUAAGUGGAAAUCCGAAGGAACAAUAUCUGGUGAAUAUGGAGGGUGGGAUGACACAUCCCAGUCGAGCUGCAGCAAUUUUUGUCUGGUUCCCUAAGAAACGUGCGGUUUUGCAUUAUCUUGUUGGAAAACAACACCCUUCCUGUUGGCUAAUUCUGGAUGUUUCUCUUGAAUUGCUGCUUUUUACUCGUCCAGUUGUGUGCAGUAUUUCUCAGAAUUAAUUGUCUGGAUACUUGGGAGAAGCUCGUAGUACAGAAUUCCUUUCCAAUCUCACCAGACACAAAGCAAGACUUUUUUAGGGUGAAGACCCGCUUUUGGAGUGGCUAAGGGUGGCUCAUGUUGCUUACUCCAAGAUCGCUUUCUCUGAACAUUUCAGUAGAUAAUCCAUUUCUCAUCACCUGUCACAAUUUGCUUUUAAAAAGGCGCGUUUUCAUUCCGUUUAUAAAGCAAAUCACAGAAGGAAAUGCGAUCCAAAAGGUUCUUUUCACUUAACUCAUGUGGUACCCAAACAUCGUAGCGAUUUCUGUACCCAAGCUUUACCAGGUGCUCAUGAACGAUAGAUUUUGAUAAGUUGAGGCUUUCUGCCAAUUCUCGGGUUGUGCAAUGUUGGUUAUUCUCAAUUAAUUACUUGAUUUGGUCAUCAUCUGUAGUGGACGGUCUGCAUGAUCGCUCUUUAUCAAUAAGGCUACAAUCUGCAGCUCGGAACCUUGCGAACCACUUCCGUACAGUUUUUUCGAAUAAAGAAACAUCACCGUAAACUGCGCAUAUUUCUGUGGUUGCUUGUGAAGCAUUUUUCCCUUUACGGAAAUAGAAAAGCAUCAAGUGCCGAAAAUGAACUUUCUUAUCUUUCAUUUUAAAGGGUUACAGAAUUAACACAGGUUAUAGGAACAUAAACCUUCUUCCACGAAAAGAUAGCUUAAACUGUGCUCUAAAUGGAGGUGUAGUCAAAUCCUAUUUUAUGGACUCGACCAUGUUCUAAAAUAAUUCGAAAGGUAAGCUACUAUAAAUCGGAACGAACUUUCCAAACAACCCAAUAUAUAUAUAUAUAUAUAUAUAUAUAUAUAUAUAUAUAUAUACAGUAAUCCCUCGCCAUAUCGCGGUUCACCUAUCAUGGUUUAUUAUUUAAGGUUAUGUCGAUUCUUCCGUGAUGUCGUUUUGCAUUUGUAAUAAAAUAAAUAUAUACGAAUUAUAAAAAUAAUUUUUUAAAAAUAUACAGUACAAUACUGUUUCUACUUCGCAGAUUUUCACCUAUUUGGAAUAGUCGAGGGAUUACUGUAUCUUAUUUUUUAUCUUUUAUUUUGUUUCUCUUAUUUGACUGAGACCAUACUGGGGCACAACCUUAAAGGGCUUUAGUCGAGCAAAUCGACUCUAGGGCUUAUUUUUUUAAGCCUAAUAUUUAUUCCAUCGGUCUCUUUUGCCUAACCGCUAAAUUAUGGGGACAUAAACCCACCAACACCGGUUGUCAAGAGGUGAGAGAGGGGCCAAACACAGACACAAAGACACGCAUAAAUAGAUAUAUAUAUAUAUACAAACAUACAUGUACGUGUGUGUGUAUGUGUGCGUGCGUGUGUGCGAGUGUGUAUGUAGAGUGAGAGAGAGAGAGAAAGAAAGCGGUAAUCGUAUCUACAUGAAGAACUAACAAACAAGGUGAAUAUGUACUGGAAGAGAAAAAAACAAUGAUAAAUGGGAGAAAUAAACUAAGACUCUUGAAAGACUCCCAGAAUGAAGUUUUAAAUACGUAAGAGAUUCUCUAUCAUUCAAGCUCUUCUCAACUCCUCAACUCAAAGAAAUAGAAAAUAUCGAUCGUACCCUGUAUAAUGUUAAUGUUAAUGGUAACCUCAUUAGUAGGUGACCUGGAGGCUUUGAAUGCACUCCCUCUCUCACCUCUUUUCUCUACUAUUAAAAAAAGGUAAGAAAGAAAAAGAAGUUGAUCGUUUAUAUUGUUUAUAAUUAUUUUAAAUGAACAGGUAGUUUUAUGCCAAGUUGCGGUAUAUUGACUAGCCCCAAAUUUAGAGCGAAAUAAAUUUAUCUGUAUCUACUUGCAGCUACUAGGACAACCAAAACAGAAAAAUCAGAAUGAAUUAUAUCUGCUCGAUUAAUAAAAUACGUUUGUAUAAAAAAAAACAAUAAAAUCUCUCCCUGAUUUUCUCCCCUCGAGGGAAGUUUCUUCCUCUCUUCUGUUUCUUAGCCAGCCCUAUUUGUCUCUGCAUCUGAAGCUGAAAAGAACCACAGGUGGCGACAGCAACAACAGCCGUUCAAGAAUUUGGACCUGGAGAUCUCCAUUUCCAGCAACUUCGAGGGCCACCUCCCAGUGGAGUCGGGCGUCAACGAAGAGCCCUCGACUACAUCAAGACGACCAAAGUUUUUUUUUCCAAAGUCUGGGGUCUUCCGCCCCUAAGCCCUAGACCAUCACCUAAUCACCCUUACCCGUCUUGUUGCUUAACAACAACAACAACAACAACAGCAACAACAACGGAGGUCACCAGUCAAAUGUCACACAUACACACACAAAUAUAUACGACGGGCUUCUUUCAGUUUCUGCCUACCAAAUCUACUUACAAGGCUUUAGUCGGCCCGAAGCUAGAGUAGAAGACAUUUGCCCAAGGUGCCACGCAGCGGAACCAAACUAGGACUCAUGUGUUUGGAAAGCAAGCUUCUUACCACACGGUCACAGCCAUGUAACCACACACGUGCUGUUUGCGAUAUUUUUCCUUCUCCGAACUUUCCCGUUUUUUUUUUUUUCUGAGAAAGGGCUAUGCUCGGAACGUCACAAACAACUCACUUUUAUUUUUCUAACAUUACCGAGUUUCAAAAAGGUACGUUCCAUUAUUACGUCUUCUAGUUUUGUUAUUGUUAUAUUCUAUGUUCGAUUAUUCAAUUUUACCACCCAUAUACACACACACACACACACACACACACACACACACACACACACACACACACACACACACACACACACACACACACACACACACACGUACACGCUCACGUACAUACACACACGACCCUCCAUAAAUCCCAAAUUUUAUUUUGGUACUUAUGGGAGCAACUGUCUUCGAAGACAUAUUGCUAUUCAAUGCUCGAAAUGAGGAGUAGAUAGACAGCCUACAACUGAUGAAGGGUUGUUAUUUGUGUUACUUGUUCUGUUUUCCAUUUGUUUCUCUCGUUGUUUGUGUAUUGAAAUCAUUUGAUUUCGUAUUUUAUGCUGUUUGCUGUUGGUGACGACCUGUACCCAUAUAUGCAUGUGUAUAUAUAUAUAUAUAUAUAUAUAUAUAUAUAUAUAUACGACAGGCUUCUUUCAGCUUUCAUCUACUAAACACACUCACAAGUCUGUGGUCGGCCCGAGGCUAUAGUAGAAGACACUUGCCCAAGGUGCCACGCAGUGAGACUGAACCCGGAAUCAUGUGGUUGGGAAGCAAGUUUCUUACCACACAGCUACGCCUCCGCCUGAAUGGUCAUUUUAUUAUUAUUAUUAUUAUUAUUAUUAUUAUUAUUAUUAUUAUUAUUAUUAUUAUUAUUAUUAUUAUUUUGACCUUCCCGAAAUAUUACAAUGAAUUUAGACCACUUUAUGUAAGAUAGAAAUUAACUAGCAGAAUCUAGUUGAAUCUCAGCUUCUUAACCAGAUGUGUUCGUGUUGGUGUGCCUGGUUAAAAUGGUUUGGCACCAGCCAGCUUUAAGGAGCAACAGUCACCGUAGUACUGGUAAAAAAAUGCAGAAGACAGCUCGUCUGCGCUGGGAGCCAGAGGCUGGACUGUUAUGGCGUGCAAUAAAAAGUUGUGGUUGUUGCUAUUGUUACAACACCAAUUGUGAUCGUUGGUACCGUCGUUAUUGCGAUUGUUGCUAUUGUUGUAUUUGCUACUAUUGUUUAUGUUAAUGUCGCUACCGUUUCCGUUGCUACUGUUCUCGAUGCUGAUAGUAUUGUUGCUAUCGAUAGUACCAAUGUUGCUCUUGCUAUCAUUGUUGUUGCUAUCGUUUUUGUGCUCUUGUUUUUUUUUGCGAUUGUUAUCGCUGUCGCUGUUGUUUAUGAUGUUGUUGCUGCUAAUUGUUCUAAGAGCUGCUGUUGCUAUCGUUGUUGACAUUACUUGUAAGCGCGUUUGUUGUUGCCUGUGCUAUUGUCGGGCUUGUUGAAGCCACUGUUGUGGUUGUUGGUGAUAAUGAUGGUGGUGCUAGUGGUAGUGGCGGCGGCGGAGGCGCUUUGUUGUCGUUGUUGUUUUUCCUUUUGAUGUUUCUAUUGUUGUUGUUGUUGUGAGGAUUCUGCCCUUUCAUGUUUUUCUUAAGAUUGUUUGUGUAGAUGUCGCUGUUAUGAUUUUUCCUCGUUAUUUGUUGUUGCUGUAAAUCUCCUUGAAGUCGUUAUGUUUUUUUUUAUUCCGGCUGUUGUUUGUGUUGUUAUCGUUGUUGUUGUUGUUGUUGUUGUUGUUGUUGUUCCUAAACUAACCAACGGCCCCUCCUCACUCAAACACAAACUAGGUCUAUUUCGCUUUCUUCUCAUCCCCUUUCUCAAUUCACUUUAUAAACAUCAUCACCAUCACCAUCAUCAUCACUUCCGCAACAACUAUCACAACAACCACCAAUAUCUCCACUACCACAAUCACCACCAUCAUCAUCAACAUCACUGCCACAAUAACCAUUACAUCUAUCACUAUCACCACCAUAACUAUUAUCAUCAUCAUCAUCAUAAACAUCAUGACAUGUUUAUACAUUAUAUAUAUUUUAUCUAUAUUUUUAUCAUGAAUUUAUUAUUAUUAUUAUUAUUAUUAUUAUUAUUAUUAUUAUUAUUAUUAUUAUUAUUAUUAUUAUUGUUAUUAUUAUUAUUAAUUGAAGGCGGCGAGCCGGUACAAUCGGUAACACGCGAGGCAAAAUGCUUAUCCCCAUUCCUUUUGCCUUUGCGCUCUGUGUUCAAAUUCUGCUAAAAUCUGACUUUCUGAUUCGAUAAAAUAUGUACCAGUUGGACACUGAGGUCGUUGUAAUCGACUUACAAUCUCCCCCAAGAUUGCAGGCCUUGUGCCGAAAUUUGAUACCAUAUUAAUAGUUAUAUUCAUAAAAUAUAUUUCCCAUUUAAUAAUGAAACACGUGUAACACAGAAUUAAAAUGGUACUUCUUACUCUGCAAAUAUAAUUCACCAGGUAUCUCAACUUACAUGUAUGAUGUACUCAUUUAAAAUAUUAUCUAUUAAAGGCACAAUGCCUGAAAUUUCGGUAGACGGGUUAUAGUCGAUUACAUCGACCCCAGUGUUUCACUGGUACUUAAUUUAUCGACUCCGAAAGGAUGAAAGGCAAAGUCAACCUUGGCGGAAUUUGAACUCAGAACAUAAAGAUGGACGAAAUGCUGUUAAGCAUUGUUUCCGGCAUGCUAACGAUUCUGCCAGUUCGCCGCCUUAUUUUCUCUUGUAAAAUAAAACAUCUCCAUACUUGAAUAUUCUGUUAUUGGAAUAUAAUACGUAUGUGUGUGAUGCAUAUAUAAUACAAAAUUACAUUAAAAAUACAAAAAUAAAACCGGAAGAGUAAAAAGGAAAAGAAAAACAAACAAAACAAAAAUACAUUAACUCAACGGAACCUACUGAAGCAAGCCAACACGCGCGCGGCGUUAGCACAGGCGAUGGAGAGACUAAGGAGUUAGAACAGCCAAGCACCCACACGAGCAUUACCUGGCCUCUACAAAUAUACAUUUGAUUGCUAGAAUACACAGACAUGCUUAACGAGGACAUAGCUUCGUUUAUAAUCCCUAUAUAUAUAUAUAUAUAUUGGACUUUCUUCAGUUUCUGAAGAGGAGCGUGGCUCGAAACGUUAAACCAUCUUACUUUUCUUCCCGUAGCGUCUGCUAAUACUUUACAUGUACCAUGUCCUCACGUUGUUGUUUGUGUGUGUGUGUUUGUGUGUGUGUGUGUGUGUGUGUGUGUGUGUGUGUGUGUGUGUGUGUGUGUGUGUGUGUGUGUGUGUGUGUGUGUGUAAAGUAAACAGAAAUAUAUAAACAGAAACAUUUCUGUUUACUUUAAAUUUGAUUCCAGAUAAUCUCAUGUUUAUCUUUGUCUUUACCUAUAACCUAUGAGCAUAAUAUGCUUACAUACGUUUGUCCAGGGUUAACACAUGCUAUUUCUAGCAUGUAUAAUUGCCUGUUAAAGGGUAGCUUUCUUUUGUGUUUUAAAUGUACACUAUUUUAAAAUAUGAAUAUGUUGUCUAUUGACUAUUUAUACAUGCUAGGCCACUAGUGGUGAUAUUUAUAACGAAUAUUCGCUACCCUAUAUAUGUAUCUUAUGAAUAUGUUCUUAGCAUUCUCGAAGAUUCAGCUCGGCAUUAUAUUUAUUGCCGACAGUAGAUUCGCCUGCGCGCGGAAUUUUGAAAAAUUAUAACAUAUAAUGACAGGACACGUGUUAUCUUUCUCUGAAUUAUAAGUUAGUUAUUGAGGCCGGUUACUGACGAGAAUUCGCCUGGCGGAUAAUAUUGUUUUGCUAAAUUACCUAUUAAAGGAUGGAAAAUAAUUUUAUUUGCUAAAGAAAUUCGAAACCAUGGUAUAACCGCUAAUAAAAAAUAACAAAGUAAAAGUUUUUAUUUUUCAUUUACUUCGAAAAUUGCUAUUAAAUCGUGGUUUUGGCCGUGUAGACUGCUAUUUCUAGCAUGUAAAAAUUACUUGUUAAAGGGUAGUUUUCUUUUGUGUUUAAAUGUACACUAUCUUAAAAUAUGAAUAUGUUGUCUAUUGACUAUUUAUACAUGCUAGGCCACUAGUGGUGAUAUUUAUAACGAAUAUUCACUACCCUAUAUAUGUAUCUUAUACAUAUAUAUAUAUAUAUAUAUAUAUAUAUAUAUAUAUAUAUAUAUAUAUAUAUAUAUAUAUAUAUAUAUAUUACGCAAAGAUGAAAAUAACACUGACAUCUCAUUUUAAUAGAUAUAUUUACUAAAAUUACAUAAAAAUAUCUUGAAAUACUAAAGAGUAAAUUUAUCCAAUAAAAUUGCCAUUGGCUUCAACCACGGCCUCCAAACGACUUCGGAAUCUCCUGCAACUCUUCUCCUUGUUUAAGAUGGUGAAUGCUGCCAUAAUCCUUGCCUUCGGUUCAUCUUUGGUGUUACAAAGUGUUUUUUGGUCUCUCACUCAACUGCGCCCCACACAUGAUAAUCAAGGGGAUUGCUCUCUAGGGAGUUAGGUGGCCAUAUGUUAGGGAUGGUGUGGUCGCAGAAAUUGUCUGACAGCCAUGACUGGGUUCUCCUACUUGUGUCGUAUGAUGCAGAGUUCUGUUGCCAGACAUAGGGUGUUGCAGCAGCCACCCUCUUGACCCAGAGAAGCAUUACCUCCUCCAGGCACUUGAUGUAAGCCUCUGUGUUGAAUCUGAGGCCGUGUAGGAAGAUGAAUAGAAGCAUAAUGUCACCAUCACUAGUGAUCACUCCAAACACUAUGAUGUUGACUAGAUGUUUGAUUUUUAUCACUCUCGGUACAUGUCCUUAGAUUGCUCUGUCCAGAUUGACACCCAAACAUUGAAAUGUUCGUACUGGAGCUUCCGGCGUGACUGCCAAGCAGUACAGCAUGUCGUUUCCAAAUUUCUGACAGAGUGAAUUGCGUCAUGGUACCGUUUUCCUCACAGACAGUGGCCAACCGACCCUAGUAUACUGUGUAGUCGACAAAAUCAAAAGCAACUAAUGCGCAUGCGCAAAUUAAAAAUAUAAAAUGGUGACAAUUUACCCAUCGUACUAAUAUGUAAGAAAUUUCGUCCUAACGAAAUCCGGACACACUGUGGGGUUCUUUUAUAUCUAACAUGGUUCGAAUCGUGAUGAUCCGAAGCAACUGUUCAUCUAGUGGCCGGAUUGAAACAUGUGUAGGCAUCUUUUUUUUAUUAUUUCUUAUGUUUCUGUUACUUUAAUUAUUUGAUUAUUUCUUAUGAUUCUCUUACUUUAAAUUUUAUUUGUAUUACAUUAUUUGAUAUGUAUUCAUCGUGAUACAAAUAAAAUUAAACAAGUAUCCACUAUAUUUCUUCUCCUUUUUCUUAUAUUUACUUAACGCUAUAUAUAUAUAUAUAUAUAUAUAUAUAUAAUGCGUUUCAAAUUAUUAACGACGUAACAUUUUAAAUUUUAUUUGAAAACUACUUGUGAGAAUUUAACGAAUUUUUUACAGAAUGAUAACAACAUUUAUAUGCGCAUGGUGUGUAAAAAUGUGAGGUUCCAUAAACCAACAUGGAAACUAGGCCAUUUACCAAAUUUUCGUAAACUUUCAGUUUCAAAUUAUUAGCGAGGUGUAAUUAAAACUCAUGUAAAGAAGAAUAUACCAAUUUGUUUGAUGUGCAUACUGAAAUGAAUACAUACAGUCGUAAACAUGGAGGAAAUAGAAAUAAACAAAUUAACAGCGUUCAAACAUGAUAGGUGAGCUGGUUAGUAAGGUAUAUAUGAGCGUUUGUUUGAAAUAAGUUGAAAAGGUGGUGGUCCAUUGAACAUGCCAAUUUCUGGAUCUCUGAUGUUAUACCAUGAGAUACAUCUAAUAUUGCCUGCCACCCUUACUCGUAAAUUGGCGUCCAUUUUCGUAAAUUCGUCGCUUUAGAGUACCCCACAAGAUUUUUUAUUGGGUUUACGUCGGAGGAACAGGCAGGCCACUUCAUCUUCCGAGGUCAACAGAAGCUUAAUUGUUGCAGACACUUUGUAGUUUUCUUCGCUGAGUGCGUAUUAUCUUGCAUAAAUAUUAUGGUUGUCUUGGAGGUGAUUCUUUGCAUUUUUAACCAAGGUUCAAGGUGUUCCUUCAGGAAAGCUAUGUAAGCAUCUUCAGUCAUUUUAACACCGUCAGGCACUUUCCAAAGACCAACCAUAGCUCCAAUAACACCUGCCCAAAUCAUGAUGCCUCCUCCUGCUCUCAAGCAUUGAUGAUGAUCUCCUUCAUUUACAACCCAACCCUUGCUCCAGCCAUCAGUCCAUCAAGAGUAGCACGAGUUUCGUUCGUAAACAAAACUUUUGAAAAAUCAACCUUCAUGUUAUCAUCUGCCCAUUUCAGACGAUUUUGUAUGUGUAUUUUGUUUAAAGGAAGCCUUUUAACUGAUGUCAUUAGUUUGCCGACCUUUUUCAGAAGACAACAUCGGGUAGUUCUGAACACAGUUGUUUCACUAAUGCACUUGAAAAGUUCUCCACUUGUAAGACCUGGGUUCUUCACAGCUUCACGCUUCAUUCGUGGCAGAGAACAUUGAGAAACAGCCCUCGACUGAUUCUCGUCGGCUAUCAUACGUAUCUAUGUAGAAGCUGCAACAAUUUAUUUUUUCAUAGUUUUGCGAUAACUUCCAAUUAUUUUAGAUAUUUCUAAUGUUGAUUUACCUUCUGCAAGUAAUAACAGAAUAACAGAUUUCUCUGAAGCAGUUAAGUCACUUUUACGACCUAUAAUUACACAAUUAUCAGACCACUCGCUAAUAAUUUGGAACACUGAAAGUUCGUGGAAAUCAUGCAAAUGGUCGCCGUUUGUUUACAUAUGUGCAAAACGUCACGUUUUUUACACACUAAGCGCAUAUAACUGUUGCUAUUAUUCUAUGGAAAUUUUGUUAAAUUCCAACGUGUAGUUUCUACAAAAGAUAAAAGAAAGUUACAUCAUUAAUAAUCUGAAAUGCAGUGCAUAUAUAUAUGUAUAUAUAUAUAUAUAUAUAUAUAUAUAUAUAUAUAUAUAUAUAUAUGUAUAUAUAUAUAUAUAUAUCCUAUUGGUGUUUUCAUUAUUAAUCAGUAGAAAUUAGUGUGCAUUGGCUCUUAACAAUUUUCUCUUCUCUCUCUCUCUCUCUCUCUCUCUCCAUAUAUAUAUAUUUAUAUACACGCGCGCGCACACACACACACACAAUAUAUAUAUAUAUAUAUAUAUAUAUAUAUAUAUAUAUAUAUAUAUAUAUAUAUAUAAGAGAGAGAGAGAGAGAGAGAGAGAGAGAGAGAGAGAGAGAGAGAGAUAGAUAGAUAGAUAGAUAGAUAGAUAGAUAGAUAGAUAUGUUUCUUUAUUAGCCAAACAGGGCUGCACACAGAUAGAACAAAUUACAAGGUAGAGCUUUUCUUUUGAAGAUUAAAAAAAAAGGGGGGGAGUUUCGAUCAAAAGGGAUCGUAAAAGGAGAGAAAGAGGACAAAAAAGGGGGGUUAAAAAAAGGGGGGAGAGGAAAAUAAUUGAUCAAUAGGGAUCGUUAUCACAGAAAUGUCAAUAUGAAGUGUAAAGGGGAGGACAGGUGAGGUUUACCCGUGGAAAGAAAAGCCUACGGAAAAGACCACGGUAACCUCGGUCAGUGAAGUCACAUGUUAUAUUUCUUUCUUUUAUUAUUUUUUUUUUUUUGCAAAUAAGCAACUCUCUGUAUUAAUUUUUAUGGUUCAUAGAAUCAUAGUCAAGGUGGCUUCGUCAUUCAUACGUGCCAUCCUUGUUACAUUCACCCAUCUUUUUUUAAAACAUUCACUAGACAAAACUUGCCUCUCUACUCUCACUUUCCUCCUCAAGUGAUACUUGAAGAAGUUGAUGAGAGAUUGACCAGAGAGGAAAGUGUUUGUCUCUAAUCCUUUCAGGCGCGUCCACCAGAUACAUUCUUUCGCCAUAGCCACAAGUAUGAUAAAAAUAGCUCUUCCUUCCCGUUUGAAGGAAGGAGGCGUGACGAUAUUAACGAUAGACUCGGCUGAUAAACCGACACGUCCCACACGUGACAGCAGUCGUUCGACAUAAGCCCACAGGUGGGAAAUUGCUGGACACUGCACGAUUGCGUGCAGAGCGGUUUCGUCGCUCUGCCCGCAUCUCGGGCAGGUCGGCCCCGUGUUUCUCGAGCCAUGCCUAUAGAGCUUAUCCCGAACGGGUAGCGCUUCUCGGUAGCACCGCCAGGCCAGGGAUCUCUGGAAGUUGUCCAUAGGUCCCGGGCCGAAAGUCGUUUGAAACAGGCGGGUCAGGUAUUCCUCGUCGACGCCCAGGUUUGCACCGAGAUCGUCGUCGUACCUCCCCUCCACUAAGAUAGAUAGAUAGAUAGAUAUUAUCAAAACAUUGGCAUAGAGUACCGAUAAGUUUAUGACAUUCCACUUUGAAGGCUACCUCCAUACAAUUCAAGAACAAGCAAUCCACACCAAAUACCUGCAGUAUUCAAAGCAAAAGGCACUGGCCGACAACAAAUGUAGGGUUUGCAAACCCAAAGCUGAAGACACCAGCCAAAGUUAUUGCUAACUGCGAAAGAUUGUCUUCUAGACACCAUCUUCACAUGAGGCAUUGAGCGGAGAUGAGAACAGUUUGGAACGGGAUGAGAAAAAUAAAAACUUCCAUCACGAACUUGACUAUAUUGACUCCGAUGGCCGAUGAGUCAAGAGAGUCUUGGUGAAACUUGAAAAUAAAAAUAACCACCAAGUCAAAACACAAUCGACCAGAUAUUAUUGUGUGGGACCACACACACACACACAAAAUACUAUAUUGUAGAAUUUUAAUCGGCAGCAAAUGAAAAGUGCUGAAUUAACUUCCGAAAAUAUGUUGUCUAUUGACUUUUAUAGAUGCUGGUAGUGAAAUUUCUAAAAUUUUGCUAUCCUAUGUUAAUUUAUGAAUAUGAUUUUAGUCAUUUCGGAAGUUAAUUCGGCACUUUUCACUCACCAACGAUCGAAACCGCGCUUGCGCGGUGAAUUUGAAAAAUUAUAAUAUAUAAUGAUGAGACACGUGCUAUUCUGUCUCUAAAUUAUAUGUUAGUGUUUUGGUGUAGCCACUGAUGAGAACUUCGCCUAGCAAAUUAUUUUAUUUGCUAAUUAGAGUUCGAAACCUAGGUAUGGCUGUAAAAAAAAAGGUAAAAGUUCAUAUUGUUCAUUCCCUUCGAAAUUGCUCUUAAAUGUGGUUUUGGAUGUUUUGACUGCUCCUUCUAGCAUGUAAGGCUGCCUGUUAAAGGUCGCCUCUUUUGUGUUUAAAUGUACACUAAUAUAUAUAUAUAUCGUUAAUCCAAGCAUGAAAACACAAAGGGAAAACACAACAACGCGAGGACGUGGAACAAGUGCUUUUUGGACGCUCAGGAAAGGAAAGAAAGAAGGACGAUUUAACAUUUCGAGCUGAGCUCUUCGUCACAAACAUAGAAAAAGGAAAGAUCCAAGGAAGGGAAGACGGAGGGUAAAAAUCGCCAAGAUACACACGCGGUCACAUAUUGAAUGACCCUUUUUUGUUCUCUUAUGUAUAUAUGUAUGUAUGUAUGUAUGUAUGUAUAUAACAAGAGGUUCUUUCACUUUCCGUCUGCCAAAUCCACUCACAAGGCUUUGAUCGGCCCGAGACUAUAGUAAAAGACACUUGCCCAAGGUGUCGCGCAGUGGAACUGAACCCGGAACCAUGUGGCUGAGCAGCAAGCAUCUUACCACACAGUUACACCUGUGCCUGUAUUUACAAAUUUGUUGGAAAAUAGCUGUUGCUCUUAGUAUUUCGAACCAUUUUAGUACUUUCUGUGCAUAAAUUGUGUCCGUAUGGUAAAUUUUGCAUAUUUUGUGAAAAUGUGCCAGUCAACAGAUCUGGUUGCUAUAUUACUAUCUCACCAAUAAUAACAUGGAAUAGCACAAAGUUGUAAUUAUAAGACUGCUAUAUAGACAGUUUCUUUGUUCACUGAUGAGAUUGAAUUAGCAAUCGAAACAAAACACCAAGUCUACAGUAAACUGAUAUCGUUUUAAUAUUAAUAUUCGUACGCACUAUGGCAUGGCAUAUUUUGAUUGUGUAUGUGUGUGUGCGCAUGUGUAUGUGUGUGUGUAUGUGUAGAUGUGUGUGUGUGUGUGUAUUAGGUUAGAUUUCAUUAAGCGCUUCUUUAGAAUAGUCAGCACUGUGACUAAUAAAGAUAUAUUGAAAGAUGUAUUGGGGAAAAUAUAUGUAGGCGCGCGCGCGCGUGUAUGUGUGCGUGUGCGUGCGUGUGUGUGUGUGUGUGUGAAUGUGUGUGUGACACACAGAGACGUAUAUGGGGGAAGGUAUAUGUGUGUGUGUACGUGUAUACACGCACACUUCCAGAAAUUAGAGAGAGAGAGAAAUAACAAGAGAUAAAGAAAUAGACAGACAACCAGGUAGACAGACAGACAGACAGAGACCGAGGUAUAUUAAAAUAUAUUAAUUGCUUUACAUCAUCUUCAUAUUUGCUUUUCUAAUCUUCGGAAGGAACCUCUAUGCAGUCACUUGUACUGCUAGAAAUAGCAGCAAAAUCUGGAGUUAAACAAUAACAGCAACAGCACUACCACCACCACAACCACCACCAUCACCACCACUCCCAUCAUUAUCUCUACUAUUACAAUGACCAUUGCUAUCAUCAUUAUCAUCAUUACCGUUACCAAUACCACGCCAACUAGCACUGCAACUACAACCACAACCACUACCACUUACCACUUACCACUACUACCAUUAUAAACACGACCAUUACUAUCGCUAUCCCAACCACUACCAUCACUACUUACUACUACUACUACUACUACUACUACUACUACUACUACUACUACUACUACUAAUACUACUACUACUAUCAUCGCCACCAUCAUAAUUACCGUAACCACUAAUACAACAGCCAGCAUCAUCAUUACCUCUUUAACCACCACCACUGCUACCACAACCACCACCACCACUACCACCACCACGACUACUAACACCACUACUACUAUUACUAUCAACCUGCAUCACGUCCAAACCUCAUUCACUCUUCCUAUCCCCUCUCUCUCUCUCACUCACUCUAUCACUCUCCACUCACCGCCACCACCGCUACUACCAUUGUAUUUCUCUGCAGUACCUCUUCUUCUUCUUCUUCUUCUUCUUCUUCUUCUUCUUCUUCUUCUUCUUCUUCUUCUUCUUCUUCUUCUUCUUCUUCUUCUUCUUCUUCUUCUUCUUCUUCUUCUUCUUCCUCCUCCUUCUCCUUCUCUUGUUCCUCCUCCUCCUCAUGUGGUCACCUUUCUCCCACCCACCCCCAACUUCCACCACAUCACCUCCCCCCACACACACACGCACACACACGUUUUCCUUCCGCUCCUCCUUAUAUAGGCCAUAUGAAAGGUUUCACUUCUAUGCAUCCAUAGCAAGCUGAAGCCUCACACUUGUCAACGGUUCCACAUUUCACCGUCCCAAGCAUUUUACUACCAGGGAGACAUCGUCUUUAUGUGGCGGCGCUGGCGUGGCUGGUGGCAGUGAUUGUAGUGAAAGACUUGGUGGUUUGUGGUGGGGGGGGGUAGUUGUGGUGGUGGUGGUGGGGGUGGUAGUGGGGUGGUGAUGGGGGUUAGUGAUUGUGUUGGCCGUGGUAGUGAUGUUGAUGUAGCAAUGAUGGUGAUCAUUGUAGUGUUAUGGUGGUGGUGGCGGCGGCGGCGGCGGUGGUGGUUACAAUGUUGCAGUUGUAGUGUGCUGAUGGUGAUGGUUAUUGUGGUAGCGUCAUGGUGGUGGUGGUGGUGGUGGUGGUGGUUGUGGUGGUGGUGGUGGUGGUGGUGGUGGUGGUGGUGAUGGUGGUAGUGAUGUUAUUGUUGGUGGCGGUGGUGGUGGUUAUCUCAUCAUCUACUUUCUACUUCAUAUAUAAAGUUGCUUUUUCUCUUUUUAUUUAUUGUUAUUAUUUAAAUUUUUUUUUCUUUUUGCAACUCCCUAGGGUGUGAUUUCGCUGCUGCUUUUAACGUGUCGAGUAGCCACAUGCAUUGAUAACGCUUUUGAUUAUUUUUCACUAAUUCAUACAUACAUAUAAGCACAUACGUACACAUAUAUGCAUGCAUACAUACACACAUACGAGUACAUUUACAUGCAUAUACACACAAACACACAAAUACAUGCAUAUAUACAUGCAUAUGGAGAUAACAGACACAUACAUAGGUACAUACAUAUACACACGUAUACCCACACAUACAUACAGAGAGGUUACACAGGUUAUUUAUAAACAAAGACAACCAAACGUAAUGUUACAUGACAUUUGCCAAAUUUAAACUUUUUCAUUUCUCUUUCAGAUAUAUCAACAACCGUCAUCACGGUAAAUUCCACUUUGACGCUGAGCUUGUGACUGUAGCUGUGUCAACAACAGUGAUUUGGAGAUCGCCAGCUCUGAAGUGUGGUUGGGUUCUUUGUGUUAGGAGUCAAAAAAGAGGCGAGUCCUCUCAAUGGGGACGUGUUAUCCUUGGUCAAAGAGAUUUUCAGCGAUUACACGUCGUAAGGACGGCCGGGUUUUUCCAUCAACGACAACCCCAGCGAGUUGAUGUUGGCCAUCACCAAGCAGCUCAAGAUGUGUGGCGCACGAUGUUACUAUCCUACGUAAUGAGGAGAAGGCAGUUUAUGCCGGGCAAGACUAAGGCGAAUUGAUACAAAACCUAUGAACUGUUGUGUCUAGGAAAUCGUCAGUAAGAGGACUCAGCCACCGGUGGCCCCUGCAGUUUCAAGGACUCACUAAAUCUGUGGGAUGUUGUAGACGGCACGAACAGCUGUCACAUGAGACUGGCAUGUAGUCGUCCACCACGGCUACAUCAUUAGGCCUGAUGUUUUAUGCCUUAUUUCUUUGAUGUUAUCUUGUUCAAAGCGCUACUGUUUUCCUGGGAUUUUUGUAUACUUUUCCCUCGUAUUUUGUUUUAUAAUCAACUACCUAGUGCUCGC